rnacentral:rRNA from 1 species
UCCGUAGGCGGGCGACUAAGUCAGAGGUGAAAUCCCACAGCUUAACUGUGGAACUGCCUUUGAUACUGGUUGUCUUGAGUUAUAGUGAAGUAGAUAGAAUAUGUAGUGUAGCGGUGAAAUGCCUAGAUAUUACAUAGAAUACCGAUUGCGAAGGCAGUCUACUAACUAUAUACUGACGCUAAUGGACGAAAGCGUGGGGAGCGAACAGGAUUAGAUACCCUGGUAGUCC